UAUUCACUUUUACUACCAACCAAUCUUUACCAUUCAGUGAUAACAAGCACUAUAUUUUACAUUUUAAUAUUUUAUGAUGUAUUUAAAAGAGUAGUUAUUGUUGCAAACUCCAUUAGAAAUUUGAAUUGAUAUCAGUUUUGGAAAAAGGGAAACGGGGAUGUGAAAAAAAAGGGGGGGGGUUUAAAUUUUUCUCAUUUCAGAUUUCAUAAAUAAAAAGAAAAUUUCUUCAAACAUUUUUUUGAGAGGAUUAAUAUUCAACAGCUUAGUGAAUUGCUCAAAGGCAAAAAAAAACUUAUAAGUUCAUUAGACCACAUUCGUUCUGUGUCAGAAACCUAUGCUGUGUCAUGAUCAACUAUUUAAUUUUAGAUUUAAAAAGUUUGAAGAAGAAAUCUUUAAUUGAUUUGUAAAAUCUUGACAUUUGUUUUGUGUAAAAAAAACCAUGUAAUGUCAAAAAUUUGAUCACAAUCCAAAUUCAGAGCUGUAUCACGCUUGAAUGUUUUGUCCAUACUUGCCCCAACUGUUCAGGGUUCGACCUCUGCGGUCGUAUAAAGCUGCGCCCUGCGGAGCACCUGGUUGAAAUUUUGUUAACUUUCUUAAA
rnacentral:lncRNA from 1 species